rnacentral:rRNA from 1 species
GAUGAACGCUGGCGGCGUGCCUAAUACAUGCAAGUCGAGCGAACAGACGAGGAGCUUGCUCCUCUGACGUUAGCGGCGGACGGGUGAGUAACACGUGGAUAACCUACCUAUAAGACUGGGAUAACUUCGGGAAACCGGAGCUAAUACCGGAUAAUAUAUUGAACCGCAUGGUUCAAUAGUGAAAGACGGUUUUGCCGUCACUUAUAGAUGGAUCCGCGCCGCAUUAGCUAGUUGGUAAGGUAACGGCUUACCAAGGCAACGAUGCGUAGCCGACCUGAGAGGGUGAUCGGCCACACUGGAACUGAGACACGGUCCAGACUCCUACGGGAGGCAGCAGUAGGGAAUCUUCCGCAAUGGGCGAAAGCCUGACGGAGCAACGCCGCGUGAGUGAUGAAGGUCUUCGGAUCGUAAAACUCUGUUAUUAGGGAAGAAAAAAUGUGUAAGUAACUAUGCACGUCUUGACGGUACCUAAUCAGAAAGCCACGGCUAACUACGUG